AGCCACUGCAACCAAAGAAAUAAAAAGAAGGAUAAUUAAACACCUUGGUAUGAUCCAAUCAGAGACACAAGCUAUGUAUAUUGCCUGAAAGGAAAUAUCUUACUUAUGUGGGAAACAAAUCAAGAAAACAAACAGAUGAACUUCAUAUGAUCCUAUCAGACUUACUAGAAAAGAAGGAAAAUGCAAAGAAAACAAUAAUUAAUUGCAGAAAUAUAGCGGCAUGGGCUAAUUUAUAUGAACAUUUUUAUAUCAACAUUGAUGAUACUCUGAAUGUUGAUAGCAGACUGAUUGCAAUGUUCCAUCGCUCCAUGACAGAAGGCCCGAGACCACAUUUAUUUCGGAGUGCAUUUCGUUUAAAACAUAAUGAAAAUAAAAAAAA
rnacentral:lncRNA from 1 species